rnacentral:rRNA from 1 species
AAUGAACGCUGGCGGCGUGCUUAACACAUGCAAGUCGUGCGCGAUGGCGGCUUCGGCUGCCGGAGAGCGGCGAACGGGUGAGUAACACGUGGGCAAUCUGCCGUGGGGGUGCGGGAUAACCGUGGGGAAACGUCGGGCUAAUACCGCAUACGUUGUCGGGACCUUGGUCCUGCCAAGAAAGCUGGCCUCUGUUUACAAGCUAGCGCUCCCAGAGGACGCCCGCGCCUGAUUAGCUAGUUGGUGAGGUAAUGGCUCACCAAGGCGACGAUCAGUAGCCGGCCUGAGAGGGUGAUCGGCCACACUGGAACUGAGACACGGUCCAGACUCCUACGGGAGGCAGCAGUGGGGAAUAUUGGACAAUGGGCGAAAGCCUGAUCCAGCAACGCCGC